rnacentral:rRNA from 1 species
UACGAAGGGGGCUAGCGUUGCUCGGAAUCACUGGGCGUAAAGCGCACGUAGGCGGAUUGUUAAGUCAGGGGUGAAAUCCUGGAGCUCAACUCCAGAACUGCCUUUGAUACUGGCGAUCUUGAGUCCGGGAGAGGUGAGUGGAACUCCGAGUGUAGAGGUGAAAUUCGUAGAUAUUCGGAAGAACACCAGUGGCGAAGGCGGCUCACUGGCCCGGUACUGACGCUGAGGUGCGAAAGCCAGGGGAGCGAACGGG